rnacentral:lncRNA from 1 species
GUCAUACAUGCACAUUGUUUUUCAAUUGUUGAACUCCGCAUACUACACCACCUCUUGUGUCAACAUUGGGAAUCAUUGAAAGAUUAGAACAACAGAAAUCUCACAUCACCAGUGAUCACAUCCACAAAACAACCUAAAAUUCUGAAUGUCUGCAUUGUUCUGAAUAAUUAGUGCACAUACAACAAAAACCAGAAACAACACAUGUAACCAAAAAGAAAAAAAAACCAGAAACAACACAGGAAAACAAGAAAGGGAGAACAUCUAAAUUCAAAAGAACAAUCCCUAAGGAGGAGCCGAUACUGCAUCAACUUGUUACAGGCUUGUAGAACAUGAAAUAGAGUUGGAGGAGGGUUCUGCCACCAAAGCAUAUCACACACCAAUUGGGGAGCUAAAUGCGCAGCAGAUGCUUAUGGUUGUUCCCAGGCUUGCAAAAUAAACCAAAAACUAGAAUUCCAUGAAACUGUCAAAUCCCUCACCACAGCUUCCUUUCUAACAUUGUGAAGGUAAAAGCUUGUUGGCAAUCCUUAUAUAGAACAAAACACAACCUAUGAAGCCUAAAGCAAUUGGGAGAUUGGUCUUGCACAUCUAAAGAACAAGUUGAAGAAGUAGAAGAACCAAUAUGAUCUCAUGGAACUCAGGUAAAAUCAUGCAUAUGCAUUUCAUGGUUUUUCACAGAGGAUAGCAGUAUCACUUGCCAUCCUAAAAAUCUGGGUUUCCAGCUUUUUGAUCUUUUGUUCUGUUGUCUUAUGUUUAAGUUUCUUUACCCUUGUGGCAUUAAUUUUAUGUCUAGGGGAGAUCCUAAUUUGAAUUUCAAAUUGACAACUAGAAUAUAUAAAGAUCUUGCCUUUGUGGUCAAUUUAGUUUUGGGUUUGAUGCCUUUGUUUCAACCCGUGACUCAUGAUGUAAGAGCUCCAAGACUACAGCUGUGUUUGUGAUACACAAACCAAUAUAACAGUUGUCUUUGUAUGUCCUCUCCCUUUCAGAGUUUGGCCAAGGACAAAAGUCCAAAACCCUUCCNNNN